AACGAACGCUGGCGGCAGGCCUAACACAUGCAAGUCGAGCGCCCUGCAAGGGGAGCGGCGGACGGGUGAGUAACGCGUGGGAAUUUUUCCUGGAGUACGGAACAACCGAGGGAAACUUCGGCUAAUACCGUAUGAUGCCGAGAGGCCAAAGAUUUAUCGCUCUGGGGUGAGCCCGCGUCAGAUUAGGUAGUUGGUGGGGUAAUGGCCUACCAAGCCUGCGAUCUGUAGCUGGUCUGAGAGGACGAUCAGCCACACUGGGACUGAGACACGGCCCAGACUCCUACGGGAGGCAGCAGUGGGGAAUCUUGCGCAAUGGGCGAAAGCCUGACGCAGCCAUGCCGCGUGAGUGAAGAAGGUCUUAGGAUUGUAAAGCUCUUUCGCUCGUGACGAUGAUGACGGUAACGAGAGAAGAAGCCCCGGCUAACUUCGUGCCAGCAGCCGCAGUAAG
rnacentral:rRNA from 1 species